UACGUAGGGGGCUAGCGUUGUCCGGAAUCAUUGGGCGUAAAGCGCGUGUAGGCGGUCCGGUAAGUCCGCUGUGAAAGUCGGGGGCUCAACCCUGGAAUGCCGGUGGAUACUGUCGGGCUCGAGUCCGGAAGAGGUGAGUGGAAUUCCGUGGUGUAGCGGUGAAAUGCGCAGAUAUCAGGAGGAACACCAAUGGCGAAGGCAGCUCACUGGGACGGUACUGACGCUGAGACGCGAAAGCGUGGGGAGCAAACAGG
rnacentral:rRNA from 1 species